AACGCGAAGAACCUUACCUGGGCUUGACAUGUAGGUGACCGCCGUGGAAACACGGUUUUCCUUCGGGACACCUUCACAGGUGGUGCAUGGCUGUCGUCAGCUCGUGUCGUGAGAUGUUGGGUUAAGUCCCGCAACGAGCGCAACCCCCGUCCCAUGUUGCCAGCAUUCAGUUGGGGACUCAUGGGAGACUGCCGGUGACAAACCGGAGGAAGGUGGGGAUGACGUCAAGUCAUCAUGCCCCUUAUGUCCAGGGCUACACACGUGCUACAUUGGCGCAUACAAAGGGUUGCAAUACCGUGAGGUGGAGCGAAUCCCAUAAAGUGCGUCUCGGUUCGGAUUGGAGGCUGAAACUCGCCUCCAUGAAGGUGGAGUUGCUAGUAAUCGCGGAUCAGCAAUGCCGCGGUGAAUACGUUCCCGGGCCUUGUACACACCGGAGUA
rnacentral:rRNA from 1 species